rnacentral:lncRNA from 1 species
GGUCAACCCGACCCGUUUCCUGCAAACCGUGCACCGAGUCGGUUGUUGUUGUUGCUGUUGCUGUUGUGGUUUCUGUUCCGUCACCGGAGAGAUCGCGACAGCCGAAACAACCGGCGGAACUCCUUUGACUUCAGGGAGAGUCAGGAGAGGUACCUGAGAAACAGAUUCGACUGCCGUUGACGAAGAUGAAGGAGAGGUAGAGAUAGACGAUUUAGCCGAAGAAGCUUGUUGUUGUUCUUUAAGACGGAAAUCUCUGUAACAUUUAGAACAAAGAUUCAUCGUCGCCGGACUUCCUAAGAAACCACAGUUAUUAACACAAAGACGGUGACCUUCCGGCGCUUGGCAUCUAUGUUCCUCCGCCAUCUUUUCUUGUUUUUCUUCGAAAUCUCUUGAUAUUUGCCUUUAAUUUUUUAUUUUUGAAAAUCAGAUCUGCAAGAUCU